GAAUGCAAUGGUGGAUUUUUGUUGGUUGGGAACGGUAAAGAAAAAGUUGAAGCAGAAACAAUGUAACAUCUGACCCUGGAGAUCAUUGGGGCUGGGAAAAAGAAGCUUUAUGAAGCAAAAGUGUAGGUGAAGCCAAGGUUGAACUUGAAGGAGUUGCAGGAGUUCAAGCCUGCCGGUGAUGCUGCCCCUACCAUCACUCCUUCCUAUCUUGGCUGCAAAUAAGCAAAGGAGUUCAAAAUGAUCUCACCCCGAGAAAGUCAUCUAUAAAGCUGAUUGAUCCUAAGCGAGCUCACCAAAUUAGCAGAAGCGGUAGAUGAGGUAGAUGAAGAGAGCAAAGUAGAGACAGUAAUGGUGACAAUGAUCUCUUUACAGAGUGUACGGAAAUAGUGGCAGUGACUACAUCAGCAAAUACUCCAAAAAGAAGUGGAUGACUUCAACGUACCAAGCUUUUGUGUUUCCAUGUCCAACAGUGUAUGAAUUUUCGUUUGUCAUUCGUUUUUUCUUAACUUUAUAAAAAAUUCCUUUUUUAUUAUAUGUUUAUGGUUUUCGAAAAUUUAAAAAAGGAAAUUAAAUUAAUAAAUAAAUCAUAGAAUUUUAAAUGUAAUAUUUUUAAUUCAUUAAAGUUGUCAAUGUAAUCAACCAUUGUUAGAGUUAACGGGAGCACGACACAUAGGAAACUGACUUUUCAAAUAAUAUUAUAGAGAUAAGUUAUGGAAAAACAUAAUUACAAAAAAUUGGGUAAUUCUCUCAAAUAGUCCUUUUUAGGUUUUUGUCACAAAGAUAGCAUUCAAAAAAUAAAAUGACCAAAUAACUCUUUUUUAUUUUGAAAUUUUUAAUAUUUAUUUUUAUUUUUUUACAAUCAUAUCUAUUUAUCCAAAUAGAUGAAGAUAAAAUUAUAGGAUCUUUGACAUUGUAUGCGUACAAGAAGCAUACAACUUUUAAAUGUACACAUGUGUUUAACUUCUAUUGUUUUUAACACCAAAAAAACUUCUAUUGUUUUAGUUAUAAUUUACCUAUUUCUUUUAUACAGUUAUAUUUUACACAAUCACGAAAUUUUAUUUAGACAAUAAAUAUACUAUUUAGAAAAUUAGGAUCAUAUAUUUACAUGCAGUGAUAGCCAAUAAAACAACAUAACUAAAUAUCUAACAAAAUACAAUAAUUUUUAAAGCAUUAGGAGAUGAGUAAAUUUUGACAUUUUGAAAAACUAAAAACAUUUAUAUAUGAUAUGCAUUUUACCAUUUACAUAUAUGUAUCAUAAAUAUAAAUACUAUAAUAAAUUUAAUUAGAAAAAUAAAUAAAAUUCCCGGGCGUAGCCCGGGCUUGCCCUAGUCUAUUAUAAAUAGUAGUAGAUUCUCAAUAAUUAUUUUAAGUUAUUUACGACUUCUAAGAAUUAAAAAGGAAUAACGUGACAAUGUCAUAAAUUUCCUUUAUUUAAAAUAAAUAUUAUCUGAUGUCCACGAAACAAAAAUAAAUAAAUAUUUUUAUAUAUUUUAAUUUUUUUUCAUAAAGAGUAUAGUGAAAAGAAUAAAAUAAUGAAAUUGUAUCAUCUUAAAGUAAACUUAUUUAAGUAGCUACAAAAAUAUUGCUAAGUUUGAUUUGGUAAAAGAUAAUGAAUAUACUUGACAUAUCUAAAAACUUGUUUAGAUUUAUUAUCUUUUAAAUAAAAUUUGGGACAUGUUGAACCUUCACCAAAUUUUAGCAAAACAAAAAAAAAGACAUGUUGAACCUUGCAAUAUAUAAGAACAAGAAAAAGAAAUAUAGUAUUUGCAAAUUGGGUUAAUUUAGAAGUCCUUUUAGCAAACAAGGAAUCUUUGAAUAAACGUCAUGCCAACAGGUUACAACUUUGAGAUGGAAACAAAUAAACAAGUUGACUUUGACUUUGUAAAACUAAAGUUGGCUUGUUGUGUCUCCUUUGACAAUUGUCAUUGAACACCACUCAUUCAUUGGCUAAGAACAAAGAAAUAAUAAUUUCGAAUAAGUUUUAUAAAAUCGCUACUGUUUAUACGAUUCCAUAUGUAUAUUUUUUUUACCAAAACAGUUAAAGAUCACUUUCAUUCCACAAUACAAUACAAAUAACAUUCCUCUCAAGAACUAUAAUCUAUAGAACCAUAUUUUUCUUACAAGACAUUGGUCUUUCACCUCUAAGAGCUGACAAUAUUAAAAGAGAUCAGAAUCAACAAACAAUUUAACAACCCCUGAAUCCAGCCUUCGAUUCAACUCUACUUGAUCUUUUGAAAGCAUU